GAUGAACGCUGGCGGCGUGCCUAAUACAUGCAAGUCGAGCGAACAGACGAGGAGCUUGCUCCUCUGACGUUAGCGGCGGACGGGUGAGUAACACGUGGAUAACCUACCUAUAAGACUGGGAUAACUUCGGGAAACCGGAGCUAAUACCGGAUAAUAUAUUGAACCGCAUGGUUCAAUAGUGAAAGACGGUUUUGCUGUCACUUAUAGAUGGAUCCGCGCCGCAUUAGCUAGUUGGUAAGGUAACGGCUUACCAAGGCAACGAUGCGUAGCCGAACUGAGAGGGGGGUCGGCCACACUGGAACGGAAACACGGUCCAGACUCCUGCGGGAGGCAGCAGUAGGGAAUCUGCCGCAAUAGGCGAAAGCCUGACGGAGCAACGCCGCGUGAGUGAUGAAGGUCUUCGGAUCGUAAAACUCUGUUAUUAGGGAAAAACAAAUGUGUAAGUAACUAUGCACGUCUUGACGGUACCUAAUCAGAAAGCCACGGCUAACUACGUG
rnacentral:rRNA from 1 species